AGGAGAAUUCCCUGCCCACAGUGACUUGUCAAGCAGGAAAUCAGAAGUGCAAUAAGGAAACAGAACUGGAACUGAACUGCAGCGAACAACAUCAGCACUCAGCGAGGGAGCUUGCUUGAGUUUUCCCAGCGAAAAUGAGCAGUCAACUCAAAAUGCAUUUCGAUGGGAACUGGCUCAUGGAGAAGGUGGGAUACAUCAGCGUCUCCAGGUUUCAGGAUCGAUAUAUUGCUGAAGUCAUCAGGAAGGAAGGCAGAGCCAGUGACUGCAAAACGAAGAAGACGACGAAAACCGAAGUUAAUGACUUGCGAGUGGAGAAAGAGGCAAAAGGUGUGCUGUGUGAGUCGUAAUCAGCUGCUCAUCGGCCUCACAAUGGGAAGAAGAAAUAAAGGAUAAGAAAAUUCAAUUGGACACAAACAGUCGUGGAUUCAAGUGACCAAUUUAUUAUUGUUUUUUUUGUUGAGGGAUUGUAAUUAGGGGUUUGGAGUCAAUAAUAAUUUAGUCAAUAAUAACUCCAUACUUUUGGGUGAUGGAACCGGGAACUGCACAACAAUGUAUAAUCUUUUGAUGCACAUAUAUUUGGAGAAAAUGGACAUUAAAUUGCAUAUUGCUCCUCUAUUGCUUCCGCAGCAUUUGAUCAGCUUAAAUUAACUGUACAUAUCCAAUACUGUGAUUUUUUUACUUAUUUGUAAAUAGUCUGAAUAAACCUUGAUGUCUGUGUA